rnacentral:rRNA from 1 species
CCUACGGGAGGCAGCAGUGGGGAAUCUUGCGCAAUGGGCGAAAGCCUGACGCAGCCAUGCCGCGUGAAUGAUGAAGGUCUUAGGAUUGUAAAAUUCUUUCACCGGGGACGAUAAUGACGGUACCCGGAGAAGAAGCCCCGGCUAACUUCGUGCCAGCAGCCGCGGUAAUACGAAGGGGGCUAGCGUUGCUCGGAAUUACUGGGCGUAAAGGGAGCGUAGGCGGAUAGUUUAGUCAGAGGUGAAAGCCCAGGGCUCAACCUUGGAAUUGCCUUUGAUACUGGCUAUCUUGAGUAUGGGAGAGGUUAGCGGAACUCCGAGUGUAGAGGUGAAAUUCGUAGAUAUUCGGAAGAACACCAGUGGCGAAGGCGGCUAACUGGCCCAUUACUGACGCUGAGGCUCGAAAGCGUGGGGAGCAAACAGGAUUAGAUACCCUGGUAGUCCACGCCGUAAACGAUGAGUGCUAGUUGUCGGCAUGCAUGCAUGUCGGUGACGCGAGCUACGACAUUAAGACACCUCCGCCGUCGGGGAGGUACGGUCGGCGAAGAAGUUAAACUAACGUAAAGGUAAAGUUAGUUACGGUCGUUGAGACGUUGCCGACGGACGACGACGAGGGAGGAGG